CUUGCUUUUUUAAAGCUUAAUAAUGGAUAGUAGGGGGCAGUAUCAAGGGAUAAUUUGGGUCCCCACAGUACCAAAGCAUUUAGAAACCUCUGCUUAAUUUAAGGAAUGAGAUAAAUUACUGCUUUUCUAGAUUUGGUAGCAUGGGCUGUUGUGCUGGAGAGAACGAGAGCUACGAAGAGACUAGAAUGCCUCUGACUUUUUCAUAGGACAGUUGGCCGAGGAAGACACUUAAAGAUGAAGUGCUUAAUUCAAGGUCACAGAAUGUCGGGGAUGGACCUCCAGAUUUCCUUACUGACCUGCAUUAUCUUGUGGAUACCUGAGUGAAUUCCACACCACCCAUUUUAUAGAUGAAGCCACUGAGACGUGGAGCAACUGACUGAGUAGUCACUGCCCCACCCCUGCCUGGAGCCUCACACAUGACUUCUCUUAGUGACCACAGUACUUAUCCUGUAUUACAUGAGGGAAAUGAAAUAAAAAGACUGCAACCCUCCUCCCAGCUACUCUAGUGAGGUGGUAGCUAGGUGAGACGUGGUCUUGUAACACAGUGGUUAAGAAUGUGACUUUGGAGCCAGCCUGCUAGGGGCUGAAUUCUGACUCAGCCAUUUAUUAACUGUGUG
rnacentral:antisense_RNA from 1 species